UUCAUUGCGAAGCCAACUAAAGCUAAGUUAAUCUUGGACCUUGAGGGGGCUGCGACAGAACUGUCUUCUCCGGCAACAUUGUGGCAUUUUAACGAUGGAUGCUGCCGAGCCGUUGAUUAAGGUUGUAGGUGAAAAAUUCAGGAGGGCUUCUCAAUUAUGGCUUGAAGGUUUUAUUGACGCCUGUUGUCUUCACCGUGUUGUCAUCCUCUGUCGCAGGUCGAAAAAGCUUUUGAUUCGGACGGGUCAGUGUUUUUUAUUAAAUGGGUUGAUCUUCUUAGGAAGUCUUUUGAUCCUAAACUCAGUUAUCAUCCCAACCCUACAAUGGAUAUUACCUGAUCAGCAAUCAGUGAUUGAUUCUCACAAUUUGGGCGCAUUUGGUGGUAUUUUAAAAUUAUAUUCCUUCUUACGUCUUGGACUGAUACAACUUUUUUAUUUGUUCUGGUUCUAUCCAAUGUACAUUUUCAGCUUCAUUCUGAGCAAUAUCUGGUAUAAUGAUAUUGCUAAACAUGGCUUUGCUGCAAUGGGACAAUCUGAGCCAGCUGUAGUGGACCUUUCAAGACGAAAUGAUGGAUCUUCCAAUGCUGCUCAAACUGGAAGAUCAUUUGGAUUGGGGAGGGUUGUAAUAGGAAUAGGAGAGCAGCUAUAUUCUUUACUACUUAUCAACACCUUCUUCCUUGAGGUCUAUGCUACAGGUUUCUUGCCUUUAGUGGGAAAGACACUCAAUUUUCUGCUUCUUUCUUGGAUGUAUGCCUACUAUUGUUUUGAGUACAAGUGGAACCUUUCAGAAGUGAGUCUUGAUAGAAGGUUGGACUUUUUUGAGUCUAACUGGGCUUUCUUUGCUGGUUUUGGUAGUCCUUGCGUUCUUGCUAUAUUUUUCUUCUCACCACUUGUGAGCUAUGGAGUAAUGGCCAUCUUAUUUCCACUGUUUGUUCUGACAGCCACAGGCUCAGUUGCCGAGCAGGAUAUUUAUUCACAGAGAACAACUUGGAAAUGUGCAGGACUGGGGAGACUUCCAAUAUUCUAUGCUGCAAAUACAUUGUCGAUGAAGCUCUUGACUCUCUUCCCUCGUGAAUCACAAGAAAAGAUGCAGCAAAACAAGGAUCUAUAACGAGCCCUGGAAUCUGGGUCAAUACACAUACAUUUUAUGAACAGUAAGCCAAAAUUCACUAGCCACCGCCCUCUAUUCGGAACGUAUCCUGUAUGUUCAUUUAUUUACGAAGCUGUCGCUGCAUAAUGCAUUCUCUCUCAAUUCUUAAUCUGUCCAAUGGAGCAGAAUCCAAGUGGCUCAAGUCAGACGCUACAAGUGAUUUCUCCCUUAUCUGUACAGAAACAAUACCAUAGGUGAAGACAAACCAUAGCCUGAUUCGUAGCCACAGUUUGGAAGAUUGGUUGCAGUGUGAGAUAUCGAAUAGAUAGAUAUGUUAUGUUUACAAAAAUGCUGUGUGAGAAACUGGAAAAUGGGUUGAAGAGAAGUUGGAAGCAUUUGCAAAGGGCCAAAAUCCACUGAGGGAAGGAAAUAAAGGUAUCAGUUAUCAGUUCUUUUCCCUUUGGUUAAUGAAAAAUGAAGCAUGAAGGUCCGUUGGGUAGUCAUUUCAUUUUUUGUUGUUAACUUUUAAAAAUUAAGCAUAUUUCUUCUUCACUUCUUACGAUGAUUUGUUUAUUUUUUAA